rnacentral:rRNA from 1 species
CCUACGGGAGGCAGCAGUGAGGAAUAUUGGUCAAUGGGCGCGAGCCUGAACCAGCCAAGUAGCGUGAAGGAUGACUGCCCUACGGGUUGUAAACUUCUUUUAUAAAGGAAUAAAGUGAGGCACGUGUGCCUUUUUGUAUGUACUUUAUGAAUAAGCAUCGGCUAACUCCGUGCCAGCAGCCGCGGUAAUACGGAGGAUCCGAGCGUUAUCCGGAUUUAUUUGGUUUAAAGGGAGCGUAGAUGGGUUGUUAAGUCAGUUGUGAAAUGUUGCGGCUCAACCGUAAAAUUGCACUUGAUACUGUCAGUCUUGAGUACAGUUGAGGUAGACGGAAUUCGUGGUGUAGCGGUGAAAUGCUUAGAUAUCACGAAGAACUCCGAUGGCGAAGGCAGCGUACUAAACUGCCACUGACAUUGAGGCUCGAAAGUGUGGGUAUCAAACAGGAGUAGAUACCCGGGUAGUC